rnacentral:rRNA from 1 species
AUUGAACGCUGGCGGCAGGCUUAACACAUGCAAGUCGAGCGGAGAUGAGGUGCUUGCACCUUAUCUUAGCGGCGGACGGGUGAGUAAUGCUUAGGAAUCUGCCUAUUAGUGGGGGACAACAUUCCGAAAGGAAUGCUAAUACCGCAUACGUCCUACGGGAGAAAGCAGGGGAUCUUCGGACCUUGCGCUAAUAGAUGAGCCUAAGUCGGAUUAGCUAGUUGGUGGGGUAAAGGCCUACCAAGGCGACGAUCUGUAGCGGGUCUGAGAGGAUGAUCCGCCACACUGGGACUGAGACACGGCCAAGACUCCUACGGGAGGCAGCAGUGGGGAAUAUUGGACAAUGGGGGGAACCCUGAUCCAGCCGUGCCGCGUGUGUGAAGAAGGCCUUAUGGUUGUAAAGCACUUUAAGCGAGGAGGAGGCUACUGAGACUAAUACUCUUGGAUAGUGGACGUUACUCGCAGAAUAAGCACCGGCUAACUCUGUGCCAGCCGCCGCCGUAAGAC